CACGUAGUUAGCCGUGGCUUUCUGAUUAGGUACCGUCAAGACGUGCACAGUUACUUACACAUUUGUUCUUCCCUAAUAACAGGGUUUUACGAUCCGAAGACCUUCAUCACUCACGCGGCGUUGCUCCGUCAGGCUUUCGCCCAUUGCGGAAGAUUCCCUACUGCUGCCUCCCGUAGGAGUCUGGACCGUGUCUCAGUUCCAGUGUGGCCGAUCACCCUCUCAGGUCGGCUACGUAUCGUUGCCUUGGUAAGCCAUUACCCCACCAACUAGCUAAUACGGCGCGGGUCCAUCUAUAAGUGAUAGCAAAACCAUCUUUCACUUUAGAACCAUGCGGUUCUAAAUAUUAUCCGGCAUUAGCCCCGGUUUCCCGGAGUUAUUCCAGUCUUAUAGGUAGGUUACCCACGUGUUACUCACCCGUCCGCCGCUAACGUCAAAGGAGCAAGCUCCUUAUCUGUUCGCUCGACUUGCAUGUAUUAGGCACGCCGCCAGCGUUCAUCCUGAGCCAGGAUCAAACUCU
rnacentral:rRNA from 1 species